rnacentral:rRNA from 1 species
CCUACGGGAGGCAGCAGUAAGGAAUAUUGGACAAUGGAGGCAACUCUGAUCCAGCCAUCCCGCGUGCAGGAAGAAGGCCCUAUGGGUUGUAAACUGCUUUUGUCAGGGAAUAAACCUCCGGAUUCACUCCGGAGCUGAAGGUACCUGAAGAAUAAGCACCGGCUAACUCCGUGCCAGCAGCCGCGGUAAUACGGAGGGUGCAAGCGUUAUCCGGAAUCACUGGGUUUAAAGGGUGCGUAGGUGGCAUCGUAAGUCAGAAGUGAAAGUUUGCGGCUUAACCGUAAAAUUGCUUUUGAUACUGCAAUGCUUGAAUCAGGUUGAGGUUGGCGGAAUGUGGCAUGUAGCGGUGAAAUGCUUAGAUAUGCCAUAGAACACCGAUUGCGAAGGCAGCUGACUGGACCUGUAUUGACGCUGAGGCACGAAAGCGUGGGGAGCGAACA